UGUAAGCGUAUACCAAAGUUGUUGCAGUUAAAACGCUCGUAGUCGGAAUUUGGCGGUUCCGGAAGUGUGCACGUCGUGUGCGCACUUUGCGGGGACUGCUUUUGUGGUCUUGCGUAGGAUGAGGCACUUUCAUUAAUGAACGUCCUCACGCAACCACUCUUUACUGUGAGAAAAUCAGAGUGCUCAAAGCAGGCAUUUGCCGUGAAUGUAUUAGCAUGGAAUAAUAGAAUAGGACUCGGUUCUAUUUUGUUGGUUUGUUGGGACUGAGUAAUGAUUAAGAGGGACAGUUGGGGGCAUUUGUAUUCCGGCGCUAGAGGUGAAAUUCUUAGAUUGCCGGAAGACAAACUGCUGCGAAAGCGUCUGCCAAGGAUGUUUUCAUUGA
rnacentral:rRNA from 1 species